rnacentral:snoRNA from 1 species
CCCCUCUUAGGGUCUCACCUGGCGAGUUUCCAGUACUCUACCAGUCUCGGUCAGCUACAGGAGGGAGAGUCAAGCAAAAGACUACCCAUUCCAUUCCUAGCUGGGGCAGUAGCUAGCGAGUGGAAGGCAAUCUGCUACAAGU